rnacentral:rRNA from 1 species
AUGAUUAGCAUUCCACCAACUAUAUUCCAUAUAUAUAUAUGUAUUCUUCAGUUCAACAAGGAUGCUGAUAUGAUGAUUGAGGAAAUGAAGCUUAGAGUUGUCUACACAUUGCCCAGUGGAAGCUCAGACAACAACGGAGUUACAUCUUUGGCAUACAGGAGCUUCAGGAACUUCAAGCAGGGCACUAUGAUUUCUCGAAUAUUAGGACAAACUUUGGGUGGCACUAGGUGCAGCAAAAAAUGGUGCCAUGGCAGCGGAAUUGGACUGAUGCUACAGUUCCCACUUUUAAAGGUUCGGUUGACCUUUUCCAUGUCAUUUAUCUUGUGA